rnacentral:rRNA from 1 species
GACGAUGACUCCUACGGGAGGCAGCAGUGGGGAAUAUUGCACAAUGGGGGAAACCCUGAUGCAGCCAUGCCGCGUGUGUGAAGAAGGCCUUCGGGUUGUAAAGCACUUUCAGUAGGGACGGAAGGUAGUGUAGUUAACACCUGCACUACUUUGACGUUACCUACAGAAGAAGCACCGGCUAACUCCGUGCCAGCAGCCGCGGUAAUACGGAGGGUGCGAGCGUUAAAUCGGAAUUACUGGGCGUAAAGCGCAUGCAGGCGGCCUGUUAAGUCAGAUGUGAAAGCCCCGGGGCUUAACCUCGGAAUUGCAUUUGAAACUGGCAGGCUAGAGUCUUGUAGAGGGGGUAGAAUUUCAGGUGUAGCGGUGAAAUGCGUAGAGAUCUGAAGGAAUACCAGUUGGCGAAGGCGGCCCCCUGGACAAAGACUGACGCUCAGAUCGCGAAAGCGUGGGGAGCAAACAGGAUUAGAUACCCCUGGUAG